UACCCGCAGCACAAGUGGUGGUCAUUAUUAUUGGGCCUAAAGCGUCCGUAGCUGGCUUGUUAGAUGCCUGGGUAAAUCGAUGCGCUCAACGUAUCGAACUCCGGGUAGACCGGCAAGCUUGGGACCGGGAGAGGCGUGAGCUACUCGAGGGGUAGGGGUAAAAUCCUGUAAUCCUUCGGGGGAGGACCAGUGGCGAAGGCGUCACGCUAGAACGGCUCCGACAGUGAGGGACGAAGCCCUGGGGCGCAAACCGG
rnacentral:rRNA from 1 species